GACGAACGCUGGCGGCGUGCUUAACACAUACAAGUCGAGCGGUAAGGCCCUUUCGGGGGUACACGAGCGGCGAACGGGUGAGUAACACGUGGGUGACCUGCCCUCAGCUCUGGGAUAAGCCUGGGAAACCGGGUCUAAUACUGGAUAUGACUCCAUGACGCAUGUUGUGGGGUGGAAAGCCUUGUGCGGCUGAGGAUGGGCCCGCGGCCUAUCAGCUUGUUGGUGGGGUGAUGGCCUACCAAGGCGACGACGGGUAGCCGGCCUGAGAGGGCGACCGGCCACACUGGGACUGAGACACGGCCCAGACUCCUACGGGAGGCAGCAGUGGGGAAUCUUGCGCAAUGGGCGAAAGCCUGACGCAGCGACGCCGCGUGAGGGAUGACGCCU
rnacentral:rRNA from 1 species